UACAGAGGUCUCAAGCGUUGUUCGGAAUCACUGGGCGUAAAGGGUGCGUAGGCCGCACGGUAAGUCAGAGGUGAAAUCCCGGAGCUCAACUUCGGAAUUGCCUCCGAUACUGCCGUGCUUGAGGACCGGAGAGGAGAUUGGAAUUCACAGUGGAGCAGUGAAAUGCGUAGAUAUUGUGAGGAACACUAGUGGCGAAGGCGAAUCUCUGGACAGUUCCUGACGCUGAGGCACGAAGGCCAGGGGAGCAAACGGG
rnacentral:rRNA from 1 species